CGCGUAGGCGGACAUUUAAGUCAGGGGUGAAAUCCCGGGGCUCAACCUCGGAUUGCCUUUGAUACUGGGUGUCUCGAGACCGGAAGAGGUAAGUGGAACUGCGAGUGUAGAGGUGAAAUUCGUAGAUAUUCGCAAGAACACCAGUGGCGAAGGCGGUUUACUGGUCCGGUUCUGACGCUGAGGCGCGAAAGCGUGGGGAGCAAACA
rnacentral:rRNA from 1 species